ACCAGACUCCUACGGGAGGCAGCAGUGGGGGAUAUUGCACAAUGGGGGGAACCCUGAUGCAGCGACGCCGCGUGGGUGAAGAAGCGCCUCGGCGCGUAAAGCCCUGUCAGCAGGGAAGAAAAUGACGGUACCUGAAGAAGAAGCCCCGGCUAACUACGUGCCAGCAGCCGCGGUAAUACGUAGGGGGCAAGCGUUAUCCGGAUUUACUGGGUGUAAAGGGGGCGCAGACGGCGAUGCAAGCCAGGAGUGAAAGCCCGGGGCCCAACCCCGGGACUGCUCUUGGAACUGCGUGGCUGGAGUGCAGGAGGGGCAGGCGGAAUUCCUGGUGUAGCGGUGAAAUGCGUAGAUAUCAGGAGGAACACCGGUGGCGAAGGCGGCCUGCUGGACAGUAACUGACGUUGAGGCUCGAAAGCGUGGGGAGCAAACAGGAUUAGAUACCCCUGUACCC
rnacentral:rRNA from 1 species